CCAUUACGAUAAACCUCACGCGCACCUCUCCAUUUCCUUCAAACGCCGUCGGCCAUCGGAUGCACGAACUCCACCCUCUGCAAAUGUCGUCGACCAUCUCCCUUUGAUAUAAGAGGACCUAACUCCACCCUCAAGUAAUCCAAAUGCCGGCCCAGCAGAGGAGUUUUGUGUUCCACCGAUCAUUCAAGGAUCUAAUCGGCUAUCCGUCCCCAGUGUUCCUAGGUCGUCAUCGACAGCGUUUCAUCAGGGUGAAUUGAGGAGUUGGAGUUUUAAGAGCAAAACCUAUGACUCUUUCUAUGAAGGAUACAUGUUUCAUCUACUUGUCAAGGAGCAAUUGGAGUUUUGGCCCGAAAAGAAUUUUCGACAACGAGUUUGGAUGAGUGCUCAUGAAGCUUGGGAUGUUUGCCAGCAUUGGUGGAUGAAGGAAGCAUUAGAAAGUUAGUCUACUUGGCAUGAAUGAAGCUCACACAUCUCUACAAAUAAGGAACACGACUACAAUACAUCCCUCGAAUCUAUUACUUUCUAAUCUCUAAGUAGGAAUUUCAAGAAAAGAUUUUGAAUUCACAAUAACGGAGCGCUUUGCAUAAACAAAACCCCCACAAAAGGUCUUUAGUGAAUCAAGAAUUGUGGAAUACGAUUUCAAAGAAAGACUUAUUUCCCCUGGAAAACACGAGCUGUAUUGAUUUUCAAGCACAAGGUUGUGUGGUAGAUAUCAGCUUUUGACUCAUUUCUUAAGGUUUUGCAAGAUUCCAUUGGAGCAGUGAAGUCAUAUUUGCGGCAAUUCAUUGAUUUAUAGGCCUUUUUGUAGGUUUGGUAGCAAAAUUUUGGUUUAAAUGUACUUAUUUAAAUAGCUUAUUUGUACCAAUACAUAUAUAUUCAUUCUUCAUUGUGCAAACACUUUACGAACAAUUUGUGUGUUGUAUAUAUUAAAGUAUGUAUUAAAGCGUUCACCAUUUCUUUCCA